rnacentral:rRNA from 1 species
GACGAACGCUGGCGGCGUGCUUAACACAUGCAAGUCGAACGGAAAGGCCCUGCUUUUGUGGGGUGCUCGAGUGGCGAACGGGUGAGUAACACGUGAGUAACCUGCCCUUGACUUUGGGAUAACUUCAGGAAACUGGGGCUAAUACCGGAUAGGAGCUCCUGCUGCAUGGUGGGGGUUGGAAAGUUUCGGCGGUUGGGGAUGGACUCGCGGCUUAUCAGCUUGUUGGUGGGGUAGUGGCUUACCAAGGCUUUGACGGGUAGUCGGCCUGAGAGGGUGACCGGCCACAUUGGGACUGAGAUACGGCCCAGACUCCUACGGGAGGCAGCAGUGGGGAAUAUUGCACAAUGGGCGGAAGCCUGAUGCAGCAACGCCGCGUGCGGGAUGACGGCCUUCGGGUUGUAAACCGCUUCCGCCUGUGACGAAGCGUGAGUGACGGUAAUGGGUAAAGAAGCACCGGCUAACUACGUG